AUGUUCACAAGACGCUUCUCUACGCUGCUGGGACUUUUUGGAUGGUGUAGUUGUGUAAAUCUGCAUCCAGUGGGGAUGCAAUCCUGGAGAGACUAUUUUUGCAAGCCUUGUAGUGCUUCUGUCACCUCUCCUCAGGAGGACAUGGAAUACAGGAUGGGAAGCUGCAUCGGAGUCGCACGCAGCCAGGUAACACUGCAUCGCAGACACUGCAGACAUAAAGGCAUAAUGAGAAUGAGUGGGAAGACAUCGCCGGCUGUUCGCUGGUUGUCAGUGCAGGCAGAAGAAGGGGAUGAGGGGGAGUAUUUGUGUUGGACUAGGCUGACGUCAGGGGCAUAUGAAAAAAAAAGCAUGUUUUUUUGUCUGUCUCUUCUCAUACUGGCCUGUAGUGGUCGGAGCUUGGGAGAUGAAGAGCGUGAAAGGAGACGGGAAUGGAAGGGAAAAAAAGGGGGAGGUGCAAAAAGAUGCCUGACAAUAUCUGCACAGUAAAAGGGAAAUGAUGCAGGGAAAGGAAUGACAGACAUGGAUAAAUGAAAAGCAGCAGACACUGGCAACAAGCAGAUGAAGUCUAGAUUGUGCUGACAAUACACAGUUUUAGAGAAUUAAAUAAGGAAUUCAAAAAAAUGAAUUAAUUCCCUUGACAACACUGUCUAUUAAGUGAAUGCAAUAAUUAUACCAUAACUGAAUAGGAACUCAGCCUUGAUUGUUCAUAGACAAUUAGUGCUUAUUUAUUCAUCUUAUUAUUCUGCAUUCCUUGUUUAUGCAAUUGAAGUGAUUUUGCGAUACAGUCAUUUUGUACUCGUUUUAAUAGGCAUUAAGGAUGGGAAUAUUUGGUUAAUUGCUUUAUUAUAAUAGAUAUACAAUAAAGUUAAUAUUUUAAUACUGUAUAAUGGUAUCAGGGAGGAGAAGGCGUGUGUUGGAUGAUUGUCAGCUUUUAAAAAGUAUUUAUUUCAGUGAUCAAUAAAUACUUUGCUUGAUGCUUUUUAAAAGGUCAGGUUUCUGUAUUAUGUAGCGAAAGUUGAGAAUAAUUAUUUUGUGAGUAAGUGAAAUGGUAUGGGGUGUGUGUGUGUGUGUGUGUAAGAGUGUAAACAGGUGAGGUGAACAGGUAGCAGACAAUGGAUAAUACAUAAAUAAUGCAUAUAUGUAUUAUGCACUGUAAGGUUUUCCAAUAGGAAACCUGAAUUGAAGCUGAAAUUGGAAGGGAAGAUCACAGUCUAGAAAGUUUAACAAGAACGUUGCAGUAGCCAUUGAAUGAAAAGUCUUGCAGGAUGCCUGACAGAGCUGAAAACACUGGUUUGGUAAGUUACAGUAUAUUCUUGUGCCCUAUUAACCUUUUUUCAAGUAAUACUGUAAAAAUGUGCUUUACUAAAUAGUUGUAUUAGUUAGAAAAGCUUAAUAUAACUGGAUCAACCUGACUGCUUUUGGUGACACUAAUGUGAGUAAAUUGGGUAGAAAAAUAUGUUUUCACAUUUUUAGUGCACUUUACUAUAGACGUGAGCCUAUCACUUCUUACUUUUUCUUUUUCUCUUGUAAAGCUCCACUAAGUAUUAUUUUAUGAUGCAUUUUAUUCCCCAAAGCAAUUCUGUAAGGAUUGCAUAGAUUUUAAUGGGUACUCUAUUGAUUGCCUUUUUUAUUUGGGCAUCCAGCAAUGUGAAUACCUACUAGACAGUACAGUGACUUGGUGACCGCCAGCAAAAUUGCUGUCAAUGUGAAUAGAGCAUUAUAUUGACACCAAGUAGCCUGAAUGUAUUUCCCAAAAGUUUUCAGUGAUCAAUACCAUUGUAGAAAUGCUAUGUUCACUCAUUAUUCACUCCAUGAGGGGACCUGCUUUAUGUAAAAAAUUAAAUGUCUUUUAUUAGGCCAUUGAUAUGACUGAAGUCUUCCGGUCUUUUAAUGCGAAAAUAUUUUCAAUUAGAAAAAAAAUAAAUGAGUGCAUCUUAAGGAAAAAAUUGGAUUAUACAGCUCAGAGAAAAGUGCUGUGUAAUUGUUUUGGGGCCCUGUUGACAGGCAAAGGAGGUUACGGGAAGGGUAAAAUCCUUUCUGUUUAGUUUAUGGCAUUGUGUUUGUUUACAAGUGUUACCAAGGGCCAUGCACCGUCCAGCUGACUCUGUCAUCUCUGCCAUGUCAGAAUCAGGGUGGCCCCCCAUGAUCUCCCUGUCAGCUUACCCCUCUCGCCUGCUCGAACUCUGUGCAGAUAUAGCAACCAAAUGUGCCAGUCGUCUCAAGAGGGGACAAGCUUGUUAACUGCAGUGUAGCUGCAGUGAACUAAAUCUAAAGCUCUACAUUAAUAAGUGUGGCAUUGUGAGCUUGGAUAAAUGCACUGCUUCUGCUUCUGUGAGCUGGGUGAGUGAGUUUGACUUCACUUUGUUGUUACUGUUUUUGAAGUUAGCUCAAUGACCAUAAGGAGUUCAAAUGAGGUGAUUUAUUGCACUAUCAUGGUUUACAUUACUAAUGCAGUAUUAGUAAACCCUUUGAUUUUCUCUUUAGAUUUCCAUUUGGUUUACUUUAGGUGUUAGUGUGGGUCUUCUUUUACCAGAAGUACAUGGCUUUGGAGGAAAAAAAUUACACUUAAUUUGUUUCAUGGUUAUAUUAUGCAGCAUUUUAACACAUCAAUUUCUGUGCUGUGUGAAAAAAUCUAUUUUUGUUCUCUCUCUCAAUUAUAAGCUGGUAGUCCAAGAAUAGAGAAGACAUGUUCCUGUUCCGCUUCAAGAGUGUUCCUAUGUCAGCAGGCAUUCAUGUAGUCAUGUUUGCAAGUGAUUUAGCCACACUAAAGGAAGGUACUAAUGUUUAAAUAUUAGUGGAAUAUGGGUCUGCAGUAUUUAGAUCUAAAAGUCUAGAUGUGUUUUGGCUCUUAUGUUGGAUUACAAACAAAACACAAACAUAAGAAGGGCUGAAAUUACACUCCAUUCACUCAGUGUUUAAAGCAGUGCCAUCAUUUGUCUUUCUUGUUUAUCUUAUUGAUUAGCUGUUUCUGAAAGUCAGUCUCAGUCUGGGUCCAUGAGAAGUUGGGAUCAUCUAAACUUGACUCUUCAGACAUUAUUUGCAUGGAAGUAAUUGUAUAAGCCUACAGUAUUUAUUACAUGGCACAAUUUGUUUUGAAGGGAAACUGGUGAACAUGACUCAUGGCAGGACGGGAAGACUUAAAUAACAAGUGACAGACAGGAACAACAUCUAUUUAUAACAAGUUUCGUAUUCAGGUUUGCACUUCUUGCCAAAAUAUAGAGCAGGCACUGAUCACCCAGCAGAGAAUGGGAUUACAUUUUUAUAUCUCCAUUUUGUGACUUUAUAUCUCCAACUUUUGACUUUGUUUACUGCCACUUUGUUUUAUAAUUGCAACUUAUCUCUACAGUGUGACUUCAUAUCUCACAUUGUGGUUUUUAUUUCUUAUUUUAAAGUAAAAUAUCUCAUAAUAACCUUUUUUAUAUUAUAUGCUGCAGAGACCAUAGGUUCUUGAAUAGCAGAGAAGCUGAAUAAAUGUUUUUUUUUUUAAAUUUUUUUCCAUUAUGCUCAAUUUGGCUUGUGUGGUAUACAAAAUUAUAUAAUAUUUCAUAUUACAUUUUUAAAGCUAAAUACCCAUUCAGUCAACUUCCUUCCAAACACAUGAAAGUAUUGGUGAUACACCAUACAAAAUUUGAUGUAACCAAAAAUGAGGCUGUGAGGGAUAAAAUUACAGUAAAUUUAGUGGGUUAUACCGUUUUAAGUCUUAGGCCAUGUUUAAUUUUCACAACACAUUUUCCAGAGUAUUGGCUCACAGCAGUGGGAGACAG
rnacentral:lncRNA from 1 species